rnacentral:RNase_P_RNA from 2 species
GAAGCCAACUAGAUGAUCGCGGGGGUAAGGACCGAAAGGUCGCCUCUGAGGAAAGUCCGAGCUCCAUAGGGCAAGGUGCUGGGUAACACCCAGUAGGGGAAACCCUAAGGAAAGUGCAACAGAGAGAUACCGCCGAUAACGGAGGUCAGUUGUCAGAGGCCGGAGGUUAGAAUAAGUUUGUUCUACUAGUCAGAAAGUAUAACUUCGUUGUAUACUGCAAGAAGACUAAUACGUGCGAAGACAGUGUCUUCGUCUGGAAGCAUAAGGGCAACUAAGGCGGCCGCCUACGCCAAGGCUUGGCGCCAGCCAAGUUUUCUUUAUAAUUCCACUUCUGGCUUUUGACGACUGACUUCCGAGUAGGUAAGGAUGGAAAGGCGAGGUAAGAGCUCACCGGCAGUCAGGUGACUGGCUGGCCAUGUAAACCCCACCUGGAGCAAGACUGAAUAGGGGAACUAUGAACGGCCCGUUUUCGUUCCCGGGUAAGGUCGCUAGAGGCCGUCGGUAACGGCGGUUCGAGAUAGAUGAUCAUCACCUCCACACGGAGGAACAGAACUCGGCUUAUAGGUUGACUUCGCAC